rnacentral:lncRNA from 1 species
GCUUGAAUUUGAGUUCAAUUGGUAUCAAGAAAACCUUUCAAAGAAGUUACUAUUUGGAUUAUUUUUUCAGGAUAAUGAGCAUAAAGAAAACAUUAUUAUUGAUCCUAAAGGAAAAUCCUUAUCAAUCAUAAAGUGAAAUGGUGUUAGUAAAAGAAACUACUUCUAAUCCUAAUAAGAAAAAUUAUUUGAUCAUAUAAAUUUGUUUGAGCAUUCAUGUUAUUUUUAUUUCAUGUUGUUUUUGUUCAACUUACUUUGGAGCAAACAUUAUUUGAGUAUGAUAAUAGAAAUCAUUAUUAAUC